AAGAUCAGUAGCCACUCAUACUAGGAACUGCUUCUGCAUAGGUUUGGUAAUUAAAUUCAAACAUCACUAGAGUCUUCCAAUGGCCUCCAAUUGCCACAAGAGUGAUGAGUGAUUCUCACCUGGGGACUGGGGAGAGAGGCACCCAGUCAAGACCCACUGUGAGCAGCAAGCCUGACUGGUGCAUGUAUGUGAGCUGUGACUUCAGAGAGAAGACAGGAAAGUCAAGUGACAGGGAAAUCAGAGGUCCAGAGUCAGCAGCAGGGCCCCUGAACCUUUGAGAACAGUGGGUGUGCCUAUGGUCUAGGACCAAUCCCAGCAUCCGGCUAUACUCAGUUAAAACAGGAGAGGAUACCAGCUUCCUGCCUUAUAUCGUGCACUGACAGAGGAAGAAAGGGCCUUGAAUAAUCAUCAGGGACAUCAAUAAAGCCACACGGGACAGAUAGACUGGGGGACUCCUUGGAGUCUCUGACAGUCCCUGACACCAGCUGGAAUGCCUUUCAUCUCUGUGUAUUUCUGUUCAUCUGUCUUUAGCAAACUACUAACGAGCAAGCUCCUGAAAGUCCAUAAACAUGAGAACAGUGAUCAUGGUUCAGAGCGAAGACCCUGCCAACCCAUGCUUGUCUUCAAACAAAUGGGACCGAGGGACCUCGGGGUGAAUCCUCACCCUACAGCUCAGCCCUGCUCAGUUCCAGGGUUGGGGCAGCUGGCGCCUUCUCUGCUGCACUUGGAGUUUGAGAAUGGGCAUCCGAUCAGUGCUUUGCUACCAGAUUGAUGCUGGUCGUGGAAACUGCUCCAGAGGGGAAGUGGCAAGGACCCAUCGGGAGUGGUCAAAGUCUGAUUUCCUUGGAUCUAAAUCUGGGCAGCACCCUUGGUCAAUAUUGAUUUAGUCAUUCCUAGCAAUGUGAGAUCUUUGUGGCUGUGUGGAAAUCUGCAUGGAGCGAGUUCAAAAGCCAGCGUCUCCAUAACAGUAGCUCUGGAUGCUUGAUCUGUGGUUUUUCGAUCCUGUGUGUGCUGAUCCUGGUCCAAGGCUAGGAAUCUCU